CAGCCGCCGCGGGAAUACGUAGGUGGCAAGCGUUGUCCGGAAUUAUUGGGCGUAAAGGGCUCGCAGGCGGUUUCUUAAGUCUGAUGUGAAAGCCCCCGGCUCAACCGGGGAGGGUCAUUGGAAACUGGGAAACUUGAGUGCAGAAGAGGAGAGUGGAAUUCCACAUGUAGCGGUGAAAUGCGUAGAGAUGUGGAGGAACACCAGUGGCGAAGGCGACUCUCUGGUCUGUAACUGACGCUGAGGAGCGAAAGCGUGGGGAGCGAACAGGAUUAGAUACCCCAGUAGUCCCUGUCUCUUAUAC
rnacentral:rRNA from 1 species